rnacentral:lncRNA from 1 species
UGGAACACACACCGCCUCCACGGCGGCCGGCAGGUACGCCUUCGAGGCCAGCAUGUCUGGUUACGCCUCCGGCAUCGCCAAAGGCGUCGCUCCGAAAGCUCGGUUGGCGGUUUACAAGGUCUGCUGGAAAGAAUCUGGUUGCUUCGACUCCGAUAUAUUGGCCGCCUUCGACGCCGCCGUUAACGACGGUGUGGAUGUCAUCUCCAUUUCCAUCGGAGGCGGCGACGGCAUU